rnacentral:rRNA from 1 species
CCUACGGGAGGCAGCAGUGAGGAAUAUUGGUCAAUGGGCGCGAGCCUGAACCAGCCAAGCAGCGUGAAGGAUGACUGCCCUACGGGUUGUAAACUUCUUUUAUAAAGGAAUAAAGUGAGGCACGUGUGCCUUUUUGUAUGUACUUUAUGAAUAAGGAUCGGCUAACUCCGUGCCAGCAGCCGCGGUAAUACGGAGGAUCCGAGCGUUAUCCGGAUUUAUUGGGUUUAAAGGGAGCGUAGAUGGGUUGUUAAGUCAGUUGUGAAAGUUUGCGGCUCAACCGUAAAAUUGCAAUUGAUACUGGCAGUCUUGAGUACAGUAGAGGUAGGCGGAAUUCGUGGUGUAGCGGUGAAAUGCUUAGAUAUCACGAAGAACUCCGAUUGCGAAGGCAGCUUACUAGACUGCCACUGACAUUGAUGCUCGAAAGUGUGGGGAGCAAACAGGAUUAGAUACCCCAGUAGUC